GACGUAGGGCGCGAGCGUUGUCCGGAUUUAUUGGGCGUAAAGAGCUCGUAGGCGGCUUGUCGCGUCGAAUGUGAAAACCCACAGCUCAACUGUGGGCUUGCAUUCGAUACGGGCAGGCUAGAGUUCGGUAGGGGAGACUGGAAUUCCUGGUGUAGCGGUGAAAUGCGCAGAUAUCAGGAGGAACACCGGUGGCGAAGGCGGGUCUCUGGGCCGAUACUGACGC
rnacentral:rRNA from 1 species